GGGUGUGAGGGCGUUCUGGCUGUGAUGUCUGUCACCCCAUUGGUUGCCAGGGUUGGUUCGGCUGCUCUGGCUGGUGUGGCAGGUGUCCCCUUCCUCCCUCGCCACUCCACGUGUGUCCCUCCCGAAGCUGCACGCUUGGUCGAAGAGGACGACCAUCCCCUUGGGGGAGGGCCAUUCUUAGGUCAAGGGAAUACAAGUAGCUGCCUCCCCUGCUAGAACUCCCAAACAAACUCUCAAGAUCCAGGGCGAGUUCCUCAGUUUUGCCUUCAGGUUGUUUCUGAGAAUCCAG
rnacentral:snRNA from 1 species